rnacentral:tRNA from 1 species
GCACCUUUAGAUCAUGAUGGUCUACCAACUGACUCUUAAUCAGUGGGUCCCGGGUUCGAAUCCCUGAAGGUGCACCA